rnacentral:rRNA from 1 species
AGGACGAACGCUGGCGGCGUGCUUAACACAUGCAAGUCGAGCGGAAAGGCCUUUCGGGGUACUCGAGCGGCGAACGGGUGAGUAACACGUGAGUAAUCUGCCCAUCGCUUCAGGAUAGCCAUCGGAAACGGUGAUUAAUACUGGAUAUGACAUUCCUUCGCAUGUUGGGGUGUGGAAAGUUUUUCGGCGGUGGAUGUGCUCGCGGCCUAUCAGCUUGUUGGUGGGGUAAUGGCCUACCAAGGCUUUGACGGGUAGCCGGCCUGAGAGGGUGACCGGCCACACUGGGACUGAGACACGGCCCAGACUCCUACGGGGAGCAG